UGGCGGCGGUUACAGUCUAACAAGUAAUUCAGAGUUUGCGAUGUUUUUCAUAUGGACACUCUCACUCUGGAACUUUGGUCCCAUCUUCAUUCUAAAAUUUGUUGUGUUGUCCAGAGCUCCUUGAUGCUACACCUAUUCAAAUACGCAGUCGUCAGAAGAGCAGCCGAUAGAGGAGCUUGUGAGUGAAUGUAGGGAAGGUAAAAAGUUUGUUUCUCUAUUUACAGCUGUCCCUUCCUUGCCAGUCACCUGACCCUGGCCAUUCCCAUCAUCGGGGGUGUCCUGUUCUUCUUUGUCAUCAGCUGUCUGCUGCAGACGAGCUUUAGAGACCCGGGUAUCCUGCCCAGAGCCACCCCCAGUGAGGCUGCUGACCUGGAGAAACGGAUCGAUAGCAUGGGCACGUCCACCUACCGCCCGCCCGCCCGCACCAUGGAAGUGGUUAUAAACAAAUAUGUGGUGAAACUGAAGUACUGUUACACCUGCAAAAUGUUCCGGCCCCCCAGGACCUCUCACUGCAGUGUCUGCGACAACUGUGUAGAGCGGUUUGAUCACCACUGCCCGUGGGUGGGCAACUGUGUGGGGAAGCGCAACUAUCGCUACUUCUACGCCUUCAUCCUCUCCCUCUCCUUCCUGACGGCCUUCAUCUUCGCUUGUGUCAUCACCCAUCUCACGCUGCGCUCUCAGGGAAAUGGAUUCCUCACCACUUUGAAGGCAACACCAGCGAGUGUGCUGGAGCUGGUGAUAUGUUUUUUCUCAGUCUGGUCUAUUUUGGGCCUCUCAGGUUUUCCCUCCAACCUGACGACAAAUGAAGACAUCAAAGGGUCAUGGUCAAAUAAGAGAGGCUCGGAGUUUGCCAAUCCCUACAGCCAUAAGAGCAUCCUUACCAACUGCUGUGCAGUGUUGUGUGGGCCAUUCCAUCCCAGUUUAAUAGACAGAAGAGGAUUUAUCCAGCCUGAGGCCGGGACCCCGUCCAGUCCCAAGAGUGAAAUCCCCUCCUUUGGAGCCAAGACUGACACCAGCAUGGAGGAUGCCUGCCAAGACUUUGCCAUUUCCUGCACAGCCUGAUGGGAUCUAACUCCCCCUCUCUGGAUGUUAGCCCUGCUUUCUGAGGGCUAGCUGUAUGUUCAGGGGACUAAAGAGCUCUGGAGGACGGUUGCCCUUGGCCUCCUGGAGCAUCCCCAGGGGAGCCAAGAGAACAUGGAAAACACCUGAAACAGCCAUUACCACCACCUGUGCCUCCCCACGUCAGGGCUCUGCCCCCACCCCACAGUUCCCUCUUCUUCCCCCCCCCCAUCGCAAGAGGGGGGGACUGCUGCUGUGUCCAUGGAAAAGCCUUUCCAAGCCCACAGGUGGAGCUGCCGUGUGCUGUUGCCUUGUGGGUUUGAAGCAUAAAGCCAUAAAUACGCCCGUUCCGAGCACAAUAACUGGAGUUUCUGCCAUCUCCGGCUGCUGGAAAGAGACUCGUGCAACCGAGCAAAGGCCGUUGCGGGCUCCUUGGGACUAGCCUUACUCGGCAGUGGGACAGUGGCCCCCCUCAAGAGACUGACGUAAUUGAGUGAGAUGAGCGGGGAGGUGAGACUUCCCCAGGCUCAGUAUGGUGUGUUCACGGCUGGAAUCAGAGGAUUGCGAAGCAGCAUUUCUACCAGAACCGGCCAGUACGCCGCCCCUCUCCCUCAGCCGUGAGCUGCUUGCGCCAUGCGUGUGCAGGCAGAGGGGGCACCUGUCAGCGACCUAGGUAGUGUGUGAAGAUGUUCUGCAGUUGAGUCUUAGCCCCUUCCUGGGUGUCCUAAGUGCAGUAGCCGUGUCAGUAGCAGCUUUUGCAGUCCCCGCAUAGACUCUGCUGCUGCCCAAGGACUGAGCAGAAGAACUAGGCACAGGCUGGGCGGGUGUGAAAUCCAUUUACGCCUUGUACUUUUGUAACAAAAUAAAGUUUCUCCUAUUUACUGUACAUGGGC